AGCAGUUCUGCAGUAGCUUCAUAUCUGAGGGACAUUCUCCAAUUCUAUCUUCCAGAGAGAGAAUAUCGUAGAAGUAUCAUCAUCAUGCAAGUAUAUGAAAUUGUAGCAUUAGCUUUCGCCAUCAUUAUGGCUGCGGCAAUGGACGGUGCCGGCAUGCCAGGUGUGCCUAAAUUACCAGGUGCAUAAAGGAAAGGAAGAGAUGCAGCAUUCGGGAGACUUCAGCUUUUUGGAAUCUCACCCAAUGAAGUGCUCUUGUUACCAAAAGAGAUCUGAAGUUGAACUUGCUUAAAUUUUCCAGAUUGAAAUAAAGCAAUAAUUACUUCAGAA